UUGGAGGGCAAGUCUGGUGCCAGCAGCCGCGGUAAUUCCAGCUCCAAUAGCGUAUAUUAAAGUUGUUGCAGUUAAAAAGCUCGUAGUUGAAUUUCGGGGUCAGUAGGUUGGUCGUGCCACUGGUACGUACUGGUCUCACUGAUUCCUCCUUCCUGAUGAACCGUAAUGCCAUUAAUUUGGUGUUGCGGGGAAACUGGACUGUUACUUUGAAAAAAUUAGAGUGUUUAAAGCAGGCUAACGCUUGAAUACGUUAGCAUGGAAUAAUGAAAUAGGACGUUCGAUCCUAUUUUGUUGGUUUCUAGAAUUGACGUAAUGAUUAAUAGGGACAGUUGGGGGCAUUAGUAUUCAAUUGUCAGAGGUGAAAUUCUUGGAUUUAUUGAAGACUAACUACUGCGAAAGCAUUUGCCAAGGAUGUUUUCAUUAAUCAAGAACGAAAGUUAGGGGAUCGAAGACGAUCAGAUACCGUCGUAGUCUUAACCAUAAACUAUGCCGACUAGGGAUCGGAUGAUGUUAAUUUUUUAAUGACUCAUUCGGCGCCUUACGGGAAAC
rnacentral:rRNA from 1 species